UGGGGAAUAUUGCACAAUGGGCGCAAGCCUGAUGCAGCCAUGCCGCGUGUAUGAAGAAGGCCUUCGGGUUGUAAAGUACUUUCAGCGGGGAGGAAGGGAGUAAAGUUAAUACCUUUGCUCAUUGACGUUACCCGCAGAAGAAGCACCGGCUAACUCCGUGCCAGCAGCCGCGGUAAUACGGAGGGUGCAAGCGUUAAUCGGAAUUACUGGGCGUAAAGCGCACGCAGGCGGUUUGUUAAGUCAGAUGUGAAAUCCCCGGGCUCAACCUGGGAACUGCAUCUGAUACUGGCAAGCUUGAGUCUCGUAGAGGGGGGUAGAAUUCCAGGUGUAGCGGUGAAAUGCGUAGAGAUCUGGAGGAAUACCGGUGGCGAAGGCGGCCCCCUGGACGAAGACUGACGCUCAGGUGCGAAAGCGUGGGGCAGCAAACAGGAUUAGAUACCCUGGUAGUCCACGCCGUAAACGAUGUCGACUUGGAGGUUGUGCCCUUGAGGCGUGGCUUCCGGAGCUAACGCGUUAAGUCGACCGCCUGGGGAGUACGGCCGCAAGGUUAAAACUCAAAGGAAUUGACGGGGUCAUAGCUGUUUCCU
rnacentral:rRNA from 1 species